CAUGCAAGUCGAACGAAAUAUUUAGCACUUGUGUUAAAUAAUUUAGUGGCGAACGGGUGAGUAACACGUAAGAACUUACCCCUAGACGAGGUACAACAGUUGGAAACGACUGCUAAUACCUCAUAUUACCGGAAGGUGAAAGAAGCAAUUCGUCUAGGGCGAGGCUUGCGUCUGAUUAGCUUGUUGGUGAGGUAAAGGCUUACCAAGGCGACGAUCAGUAGUUGGUCUUAGAGGAUGAUCAGCCACAUUGGGACUGAGACACGGCCCAAACUUUUACGGGAGGCAGCAGUAAGGAAUUUUCCGCAAUGGGCGCAAGCCUGACGGAGCAAUACCGCGUGAAGGAUGACGGCCCAUGGGUUGUAAACUUCUUUUCUUGGAGAAGAAUUCUGACGGUAUCCAAGGAAUAAGCAUCGGCUAACUCCGUGCCAGCAGCCGCGGUAAGACGGGGGAUGCAAGCGUUAUUCGGAAUUAUUGGGCGUAAAGCGUCUGUAGGUGGUAAGGAAAGUGUAAUGUUAAAGAUCAGGGCUCAACCCUGGGAAAGCAUUGCAAACUAUCUUACUUGAGUUCGGUAGGGGCAGAGAGAAUUCCCAGUGUAGCGGUGAAAUGCGUAGAUAUUGGGAGGAAGACCGGUGGCGAAGGCGUUCUGCUGGGCCGUAACUGACACUCAGAGACGAAAGCUAAGGUAGCAAAUAGGAUUAGAUACCCUAGUAGUCUUAGCUGUAAACGAUGCACACUAUGUUUUGCAAUUUGCAGAGCAAUAGCUAACGCGUUAAGUGUGCCGCCUGGGGAGUACAUUCGCAAGGAUGAAACUCAAAGGAAUUGACGGGGACCCGCACAAGCGGUGGAGCAUGUGUUUAAUUCGAUGCAACGCGAAGAACCUUACCAAGAAUUGACAUGCUGCGAACGUUUACGAAAGUAAAAGUCUAUUACUUAGUUAAUAGCGCAGACACAGGUGGUGCAUGUGUCGUCAGCUCGUGCCGUGAAGUGUUAGGUUAGUCUGCAACGAGCGCAACCCUUGUCUUUAGUAUAUUCUAGAAAGACUGCCGGUGAUAACCGGAGAAGGUGAGGAUGACGUCAAUCAGCAUGGCCCUUACAUUCUUGGGGGCGAC
rnacentral:rRNA from 1 species